AUGUUAGAAAAUAACAUCCUUACCAAACUUGGAAACAUAUCUUCAGGGAUGUCACAGAUGAAACACCUUAGUGAAAAUGGCUCUGAGGAGAAAGGUGUUGAUGAGGAGCUUCAUGAAGUACAUAUUAUUUUAGGAGCCAUUUAUAUGACGAAGAUUGCAAGAGUCUCACUCGCUCGACGACGACGACGGCAGCGUUUCAACCGAGAUCUCGACGGUGGCUAUCGAUCUGCCACCGUCCAACCUCCUCCUCUACUUCAGACGACGCCUUUUCCAGAUCUGAAACCUCUCUCUAAUAACAGUUAUUCCUAG